rnacentral:rRNA from 1 species
ACGGGUGAGUAACGCGUGGAUAUCUGCCUUUUGGUUCGGAAUAACCCCGGGAAACUGGGGCUAAUACCGGAUGGUUCCUACGGGAUAAAGAUUUAUCGCCAAAAGAUGAGUCCGCGUACGAUUAGCUAGUUGGUGAGGUAAUGGCUCACCAAGGCGACGAUCGUUAGCUGGUCUGAGAGGACGAUCAGCCACACUGGGACUGAGACACGGCCCAGACUCCUACGGGAGGCAGCAGUGGGGAAUAUUGGACAAUGGGGGCAACCCUGAUCCAGCCAUGCCGCGUGAGUGAUGAAGGCCUUCGGGUUGUAAAGCUCUUUUGGCGGGGACGAUGAUGACGGUACCCGCAGAAUAAGCCCCGGCUAACUUCGUGCCAGCAGCCGCGGUAAGACGAAGGGGGCUAGCGUUGUUCGGAAUUACUGGGCGUAAAGCGAGUGUAGGCGGUUGUUAUAGUCAGGUGUGAAAGCCUUGAGCUCAACUCAAGAAAUGCACUUGAUACUGAACGACUAGAGUACCGGAGAGGAUAGUGGAAUUCCCAGU